GUGAUGAAAAUCAAGCUACAGCCACCUUCUGCUACAGAUCUACCACCUUAUAACCCCUAUUCUUCCCCCAGCAGCCAUUACUCAAGUCAUGUUGCUGGCAAACCCUAACAAAGAAAAUGUUCGUCUCAAGUACAAGAUAACGUACAUCGUCGAAGAUCAGACUCACACCGACCUCGGGGAAGUAAAUAAUUUACUUGAACAUAGAUGAUUUUUCAAAAGUUUAAAUUAAGAAAUAUAUAAACAAUAGAGAAUAAAUAUAUAUGGAAUUAUCUUACAUUGAAAUGGUAAAAGUCCAUCUUUCAGUUUACUUUUCCGAUAUUGUAGUAACUUGUAAAGAAUAUCCUUUUUUUUUUUCAGUAAUUAGUGAAUUUUCAUCCAGGGAUGUGAUCUAGUGUUUGUAUAUUAAGAUUAUUUUUUAUUAGGGCAUUAUAAUUCAAAUGUACCAGCCUUAGAUAUUAGACUGCAUAUCGUAUCUGACUACUAGAACUUGUGUUUCUCUAACCCUAAAUCUGACAGUUGUUUUUAAAGAAAAUAGAAUAUUGGAUUAAUUAUUAUUUUCAAAGUCUCUUAGUAAAAUGUGAAAUUAUACAUCAAAGUUUAUAGCUGAAAUAAGAGGCAUUGCUAGACACUCGCACAUGGGGCCUGUGAAUAUUGAGUCAUGAUUGAUGUUUUACUAAAACGUUGAAAAUUCCCUUGCCUGAUCCACAAAUCUUUUAAGUACCUAGCAGUGCCUCUGGCUGAAAUAAUUUAAAGUUUUGCUUUAGUGACAGAUUAAAAAAUUUCCUGUUAUGCUUAUCAUAUUAAACUCAACGUCUCAGUGUAUUAUCACACUUAGUAAUAUAAUAGGCAAACUUACACGGGGUCCUUUUGUGGCAAGGUGAUUGAUUCUUGAAUUACGCUUGUCAGCUGUAAUGUUAAAAUAAAACAUGAAAAGUUUCAUGUUUCCAGUGCUGAAAUGCUACUGGUCUUUGCUCCUGUAAGGACUCUUUUUUUCCCACCCCCUUCACCACACCCACAGCCCUUAUUUAGAUAGUUGGUGACCCCUUAUUUGUAAAAUUCUAGAUCCGCCACUGGACAUUGUCAUGACUUAUCCAUCAGUAGCAUAAUCAGAGAUUGGUUGAUGUGCCGUUAACAAUGGUAGUUUUAAACUACAAGCUUUAGGAUUAACUGUUGGUUUCAUCUGUUCAGAAGAUGUGUUGAAACAUAACCUGUUAGUUGAUUACAAGUAUUAAGUACUGGAAAGGAAAGCUAAAGUUUAGUUCUGUUGUAAUAUGCAUUCUUUAUUUUUUGAAAUAUAUGUCUAUCUUAGUAACGGGCCAUCAGUGUGCUGUGAUUUAAAAUUUGGUAAUUUUACCAACAGACAUUUCACGCUAACAAGUCAAAUGUUAUCUGUGUUGUAAACAACUAGCUGUAUUUUUAUGCCACUCAAGACAGUUUUUUAUUUCCUUUUCUAGGUAUCUACAAUAAGAUCUAUUUCAAGCUAUUACUCUGUACAAUUUUAAGUAAAACCAAAAUGUCAA